AAAAAACUCAAUUAUAAAUAUAUUAUUAAAAUCACCCUAAAUCUCAGUAUAAUUAUUAUCGCCACUUAAAAAUAUGUUAUUAACGUCGCCUUAAAUCGGUUGAGGCAAUUUAUUAAGAAAGGGAUAGAAGGGCGAGAGGUGGUUGAAGAAACUCUUGUGUGCUGAAUUUUUUGUUGAUGUUACUUACUAUAAUCAAUCAAUUUUCCUUUUCGUAGCAUUUUCCUUUUCGCAGUAUCCUUUCCUUUAUCUACGUGUCUUUCAUAUAUUUUAUCUCCAAUUAAUUAUUAUCUUUAUAUCAUUCAUUGUUAUGUGUACCCCACAACACAACACCCCCACCAAUUCAUCAUCCAUCUUGUCUCUCUUUCAACACCUCUAAUCAGUAAUCAUCAUCACCUUCUCAAUUUAACUCUGCACGCCUUAUCUCUCUCUCUCUCUCUCAAAGUCAAUUUCCUUGUAUUAUAAUAAAACCCACAUAGCUAGUUAUUCGCACUUUUGAGACAAAAUGGGCCUCGAAAUCUUAGAAGAAUUUCGACCAAUUACUCCAAUAAGAACCAUUACUAAAACAUUGAAACAUGUAUCCGAGGUAGAGACAACAAAUUAUAAGGUUGUUCCAAAAGUGGAUGAAGAAGAAUGUCACACACCAACUUCACAACCUCAAAGUACAAAAAAUUGUGUUUGUCCACCAGCUCCAAAGAAAGCAAGAGUAACCCGAAGCAACAAUUCAGCUUCACCAUCUCAAGGAUUCUUUCAAGUCCCUCACGAUCUGCCUUCUGUAUUUCUAUUUCGCACUCCAAACCUUCCUGCAACAAGAUCAGAAAUAGCUCUUACUAGCAAGGCAUAUUAAUUUCAUUCCUAUUAUAUGAAUAUUGUUUAAUUGUUAUUCUUAUUGUUCCUUGAAUACUUCAUUUGUCAUAUUAAUUUGAUUAUCUAAGUGUUUUGAAAAUAUAUAUUUGUAAUUAAAUUAUGUUCAUCUAUUAUUAGUAGACCAUGUUAUUGUUAAUUAUAUUACAGUCAAUGUUUAUAUCUCAGUGAAAAUGGUAAAAUUCAACAUAGACAGCAGUUAACUACAAAGACGGUACGGUGAUUUGGCUGUGUGCAUUGUACUACCACACCAGUUACCAACCUAUAACUUUUUGUUUUUAAUGUAACUUUGCUUUUCGGUUUUUAGAAAGUACAUUAGGACAAAAGGAUGUUACUGUGUUUAUUUCUUGCUGGCUGCUUCAGAGUUCCAAAAAUGGUCAUUUCUUUUGACAUUAAUUUGGUUGGGAUUUUAGAGAAAUGCAAAUCAAUACGUCUGCGGUCUGCCUUCAAUAUUAUGUUAAUUAUUAGGUGUGAGGGGGUGCAUAUAGUAUGAAUAUAAUAGAGAGAGUGACUAAGGAAGAAACCACCAAAUCAUGGAAACAGUUGAUUCUAAGCAACAAAGGACCGUAGCAAGGAUCAAUAGUCAGAUGUUUUCUGAUACACAAGAUCCUCAUAACUGAGGCGAGUGUAGAACAUACUUGCAUCUCUUAUACAGUAUUUAUAAUAUGAACAUAAUAACUAUAGUUCACAAGAACCUUCAUGUGUAGGUCAUAAAGUUCUUAAAAAAUCCCAGUGGCAGAUAGUGAGAGUACAAGAAAUUGGAGAAAGCUCUACUCGACCAUAAUAGAACUCUGAAAUAUCAAUUGAACAACAACUUGCAAAAAUGAAUUUUGAAGAAAAUUCAACGGAUAUGGAUACUACCGAAAAUUCCAAUGAAGAAACUUUGAGAGAGAUGCUAGAGGACAUCUGACAGUAUGAACCACAAUAUUCCCCUAUCUAUUUUCUAGAGGAGUACUUGUCUGAUCAGAAUUCGUCCCCAUGUCACGAGCUAGACUAAAUUAAAUAUAAAUAUUUUUUUUUUACCUUGUGUUAAGUAAUACAUUUUUGACAUUUUUUGUAAUUUAAAUAUAGAUUUUGAUCAUUUCUCACAAAUAGUUUUUAUUUUAUAGACGAAAGAAUAGAGACUCUCAGUUUGUUGGGUGUCAUCGUCUCUCUAAUUUUAUAGGUUUAUGUAAGUUAUAUAUAAUCAAUUAUUAUAUGGAUUUUUUUAUAAGUUAAUUAUUUAACAAUUUUUACAUAUAAAUAUAUUAAGAUGUGUAUUUUAUUCGUUAUUUUGGUAUUUGAAUGUUUCUUUCGUUAGUUCGUUUAGUUAUCGAAUGUAUUUUUCAUUAGUUAAUUUGAUCCAUAAAAUUACUAAUAUAAAAGAGAGAUUUGAUGAUGUGGUUAAUUUCGAUACAUUUAAUAUUAUAGUGGUCGCACUCCAUACAUUUAAAAAACCAAAAUGACUCGUUACUUUUAUAUAAAUAUUGAAGUUUUGAUCAAGGUCUCUUUGAAUAUUAAUUUAUGACUCCGCCACUUCUCUACCUCUUACUACAACUUUUUAUUUCUCUCUAUCUCUCUUAAAUAUUCUCUCAUCCCUAAUUACCUUUUUAUUUUCUGUCAUCUUCUCUUUUCCCCGACUCACAAUUUUUUUGGGAGAGGGAUGAAUGCAUGAGAGGAUCCGAGUCCUUUAAACACGUUAACGUCCCAUAAAUACUACCCGAAUGGUUGUUGCAAGGACAUCUGAUAUAUUGAGGUAUGGAUUCAAAUCUGGCACACUCCACUUUCUCCACAUUUAUGUUGAGAUACAUUGUAAUAGUCUGUCAUAUAAAAUUUACUUAAAGAUGAUGAUAGAUAUCAAAAUAGAACUUAAUUUCAUUAACAUAUUAAACCUAGUACUUUAUUUGAAAAAACCUACACCAGUCACCACUUGAGUGUCGUAGAAUUUUGUAAUAAAAAUAGUGAAAUAGACAUUUAAAUAUGUUUUCAAGUCUUGUUAGAUUUUGAAAAAUGUCAAGCUAAACCGUAAAAGUGGAUCUAUAAUUGGUUUAGGCCAGCCAAACAUUUUCAAAGUAGGCUUGAUUCAUUGACCUUACAAAGUCUAGCUCAAUUUAAUCUAUUUCCACCCCUUAACUAGGUAAAUCUAAUAUAAGAUUAGUUAUUGCCUCUUAUAUAAAUAUUUUGCCUCAACUCGCACUACAAGAUAACAACUUAUUUCUUAGGGAAUAUUCUAAGUGGCACAAUCCCUUGGAAAAAAAGGCAUUUUUACUACCAAAUGUUGUAGUUCAAUUGGUAGUAGAAAUGAAUGGACGGUAGUACUUAUCCUCUAAGUACUGUUUGGUUCGAUCACUAAAGAAGGUAAAAACUCGUCAUUUUCUACGCCGUGAUUAGUGAACUCAAUUGGUAUGAGAAUGAAUGAACGGUAUUUAUCACCUAGGUACUGAGUUCGAUUUCCACGGAAUGCAAAAACUCUCUAUUUCUUAUGAAAAAAAUAUAUCUUAUUUCUAGAUUUAUGAGAUUUUUUGUAAUGUAAUACUUAACUCUUUAGUUAGUUAGUAUAGUUGAGUUAGUUGAAUUUAUUAGUGUUCACAGCAAAGUGAAGCUCAUGUAAUAUAUUACAUCCACUUAUUCUCAUUUACUUUGUAUAAUUCAUCAUUUUUCCUUUAACUGCAGUGGUAUCUAGAGUCUAACCGAUUUAUUUUUUUUUUCAAUUUUGUGAGUGUGGUCGUGUUCUUGUGUGCUUCUCGUUUGCAUGUUCUACUCCAUCAUGCUUAACAAUGGUAGAAAUGGUUGUCUUCCUGGCAAGAAUUGGGAUCGAUGGUACACACAAAUGAAAACUUUAUUUGGUUUUCAAGAUGUUCUUGAUUUGGUUACUCCUAGGUUCAAUGAAUUAGGUGCAAAUCAAAAGAUGCAAAGAGGUUUGCAUUCAAGGAAACCAAGAAGAAGGACUGCAAAGUCAUGUUUCUGCUUCAUCAAUGUGUUGAUGAGAACAAUUUUUAGAAAGUGUUAUAUGCAACUAUUUGCAAGGAGGCAUCAGAUUCACUAGUGAAGUACUACACUGGUGGUGACAACGGAAAAAGGUGAAGCUUCAAGCUCUUAGGUGCCAGCUUGAACUGUUCCAAAUGGAGGUAGGUGAGAAGGUUUCACGUUUCACCAUACUUCACUCGUGUGCUUGCCUUGAAGAACCAAAUGAAGACUUGUGAAGAGGUAAUUACUGAUAAGAUGGUUGUAGAAAAGAUCACUAAGCAAGCUUUACAAGUUCAUGUGUCCAAGAAAGGUUGGUAAUUAGAAGUGGAAGGUGAAUAAGAACACGUGGAGAAUAAGGGAAUAAUUCCAUGAUGGCUACAACAACAUCAAAGUUAUGGAGCUUAGAUGUAUGGUAUCUUGAUUCAGGGUGUUCCAACCAUAUGACAAUCACAAAGAAUGACUAGUCAAUCUUGAUGAAAACAAGAAGAGCAAGGUCAUGUUUGUAGAGAAUUUAACUAUCCUUGUUGAAUGUGUUGAUGAUGUGAUGAUUAUGAGAAAGAAUGGCAAGUAUGUUGUGAUUUCUAAAGUGUUGUAUGAUAAGUAGAGCUGUCAAUUUGACAAGCCCACUAAUUAUAAGCCCCAUGAAAUAAUGGGUUGAGAUUAUAAAAAAAUUAUUUUGAUAAGGGGCCUAAUAUUAAGGGUUUAAUAAAAAAAAAAUUAAGGGGCCUAGCAGUUGGAGCAUUUUUUGACAGCUUUAGUGAUAAGGUGUUGUAUGAUAUGAUGAUUAGUUGUAUGAUAAAAAUUUUACAAUACAAAUGCUCAGCAAGACUUCAUGGAAAUUGUUAUGCAAGUGGAAGAAGAAUUUUGAAGGCUUAUUUGUCACAAAAUAUAACAUUUCAAGUUUAAAUUAUGACCAUUAAUGGUCAAUGUUUGACCGCAAAAGUGAAUAGUGAUGAGUCAUAGAAAUGAUACUUGAGAUUUGGCAAUUUGAACUUCAAAAGCUUGAAGGAAUUGAAAACUAAAGGUAUGGUCACUAGCUUGUUUAUGAUUAAAUUUUCACAAAAGUUGUGUGAAAGUUUUGGGUUGAAAAAAUGCCUACAAAAUCAUUUAGCUCCUACAUUCCUUUGAGAUCUAAUUGUAUGUUAGGAGUUGUUUAUUCAGAAGUUUGCGGCCCUUUGAUACUUCUUCUCUUGGUAGGAGUAAAUACUUUGUUUCAUUUAUGGAUGCGUUUAGUAGAAUAUCGUGGCUUUAUGUUAUUAAAACAAAAGAUGAAGUUCUUUAAGUUUAAAAGAAGUUGAAGGUCAGGGUUAAGAAGGAGUCAACACAAGUCACCGAAGUUCUUAGAACUAAUGGAGGUGGAAGAUAUACUUCAAGAGAAUUUGAAAGAAAUUUUUUUUGAUAUUGAAGGCCUCUAACAUGAAAUGACAUCACCUUAUACCCCUCAACACAAUGGUUUGGGUGAGAGGAGGAAUAAGUCAAUUUUCAAUAUGACGAAUAGCAUGUUGAAGAGUAAGGAGUUGCCUUAUUGUUUUUGGGGGAAAGUUGUUUCUACAACACCUCGUGUGUUGAAUAAUGUUGGGGUAAGCCCUUCCGCCAAUCUAUUUUACAUAAAUUAUUAUUUGUAUCAUAGAUUUAAAUCAUAUAUCUAAUUUUUAAAAUGUGUGCAAGACAUCAUUUUAUUAUGUUAUUAACUAUAUAACAUUAUAAGGUCCUUAAAAUAAAUAGUUUGUUCAAUAGAACAUCAAGUCUGACUUGAUCGUUAGACCUCAUUGAUAAUUAGAACAUUAUUCUUAAAGUAUUUGUAGUCAAAGCAUCAUUGUUAAUUAGGAAGACAAUAAUACAUCGAGACUAUUAUGUGAGUAGACAGAUGACCACAUAUCACGGAUCAUGAAUAUGAGAUAUCAAGUCGUCACAUAAUUAUAAACAUUAGGAGUAAUAUUUAUAGUGAAUUGACCCGCCAUGAGAAUGGUACGUAAUUGUUGUGUAAGUGUCAUUAGCGAUUUUCAUGUGACCAUAGUGAGCAGUCCUUCGAUUUGAAGUCAUUAUGAUCCCUACAUGAGGAGUUGUAGGGUUUAAGACCAUUAAACAUUGUUUGUAACAAGAUGAUCAUAUAUAAAGACGUUUAUUGGACGCACAAUAAAUCAUGUGGAAGAGGGUGAGCUAUGUAGAUAUAAAAUGUGUUACUAAUUUACUGAUUGGUGUCGAGAUUGAGUUGAUAGAAAAAGCACAAUGAAAUAUAUUUUUGAGUUUCUCUGAGCACCAGUCUCUUGGGGCUCAAAGAAGCAAACUCCGGUUGCCUUAUCAUCGUGUGAGCCUAGAUAUAUUGUUGCUUGUUAUGCAACUUAUCAAGUUUGGAUUCAAUCCUUAAUGAGCCAAAUUGGAAUUCACGAAGAAGGAGCAACGCAACUGCUGAUAGAUAAUAAACCAUCAAUUAAUUUGGCUAAAAACCCAAUUGCUCAUGGAAGGAGCAAACCCAUUGAAGGCUUAAAGUGUUGACGAAAUUGUUGAACAUUGUAUCUUUAGAAUCAUUGGAUUAAUGAGGUGUAUUGAAAUGCAAUUCAUUUGACAAUGGUAGUUACUUAACUAUUUAGUUAAUGACAAUUAAAUUAGUUAAUAUAGUUGAUUUAGUUAAAGUUGUUAAAGUGCAAAGUGAAGCUCGUGUGUAAUAUACAUUGUAUAAAGACUUGUGAUGCAGGCAAUAAAGUUUAGAUCAAUUUUUCAACACUAUCAUUGUAUUAUUCUCAUUACUUACAAUUCACCAUUCUUGUUUUAUAAAUUAAUCACUCAUGAAUUAGAAUAUCUAAAAUAAUUUUUUGUUUACUUGAAACAACUUAUAUCAACUCAUUAAGAAUAAUAGGAAAAAUAGAAAAUGUAAAAUGUCAAAAGGAUAUAUUGGAGAAGUUCUUGGUCUUUUAUUUACUCUUAGGAAGCAAGCGAGGUUACUCACUCUCUUGCUGUUGUGGCCACAUCUUUAACUAAUAUUCAUAUUUUCAUUGAUAUUAUAUUUCGACAUGUAUUCAAACACAUUAUUGUGAAUAAAAUGAUAUAACACUCUUUUAGUAAAAAUAAAAGUCCACAAUGCAACCAGUUUAGCUAAAAAAAUAAGCAAUCAUAUUUGUUUGUCCACCAUUAUCCCGCUUCACAAUAAGUAGUAUUUUAUUUUCAAUUUUUUUUAAGUCUCAAAUUAUUUGUUAAUUUAUAUUACUAAUUUAAUAUUUAUUAAUUUCUUUCUAAUAAUUCACUCUUAUUUAGUUUAUCUUAAUUCAUCUAAUACCUACACUAAUUACAAUUAUGAGUAUUGUAGUAAAUAGAGUUUAUUUUAUCAUUAAAAUCAACAUAGUUAAUCAAUUUUUUUUUUAAAUUAUGCAUUUAUAGAAGGGAGUAGUAAACUUAACCUGAGAAGUUUGGAAAACAAAGAUAACAAAGAUUGAGAUCGAAUAACAACAGGACAACUUGUAUGGUAUAAUUGAAAAUUAACAUGUUUUAGUACUAUUAAAUUAAAUUACCAAUAAUCUAAUGGCAUCUUAUCAAUUUGUAAGUUUGACCAUAUUUUAGAUCUAACACCACCAAAUUUUGAAGAUUUACAUUUUUGUUCUAUUUUAAAAUAAUUAAUAUUUAUUUAUUAAACUAUAUACAAAAAAUAAACAAAUUUAUUCUAUCUUACUGUUAUUUCUCUGCAACUAUGUCUCUUAGUUGUUCUCCAUCGUCUUCCUCCACCGUUCUUCAUAGUCUCUCUCUUCCGUUUUGCAUCGUCUAUCUCCAUAUUUAAUUCAUUAAGAAUAAAAAAUGAAUCCGAAAACGACAAUGCAACGAUACGUGGUCGACGAUACCAAGACAACAACAAGACAAACACGAACGAAUUAGGAGUGAGACAGAUAAAUCUUUUUGAGUUGGUAGAAAAACAGUAGAGAGUUUUUCUCACAACAGAGAAAUGACGACGUAGGAGACAUAAUAGGAGAGUGAUUUCCUUUUGUGAUGAAACAAUUUCGUGAGAGUAAAUGAAUGAGUUAUGAAUUUUUAGGUUGAUAAUGAUUUAACUUUAAUUAAAAUUAUAAAGAUAGUUUAUUAAAAAAUAAAGAGAUUAAAUUAAAAAAAUAAAUGAACUUGUACAAAUAAUUAAAUGAAAUUAAUAUAUUGAUAGUGUUAAAAAAAGAAACACAAUAAAGAAAAAUGAAGACGGUUCAUUUACCUUAUCUAAUAAUAGAACUAAAUUCUUAUAAAUCCG
rnacentral:lncRNA from 1 species